AGCGCACACGGUGGAUGCCUAGGCGGUCAGAGGCGAUGAAGGACGUGGUAGCCUGCGAAAAGUGUCGGGGAGCUGGCAACAAGCUUUGAUCCGGCAAUAUCCGAAUGGGGAAACCCACUGCUUCGGCAGUAUCCUGCAGUGAAUUCAUAGCUGCUGGAAGCGAACCCGGUGAACUGAAAUAUCUAAGUAACCGGAGGAAAAGAAAUCAACCGAGAUUCCCUAAGUAGUGACGAGCGAACGGGGAGCAGCCCUUAAGCUGGAAUGGCUUUAGAAAAACAAUCUGGAAAGAUUGGCCAUAGAAGGUGAUAGCCCUGUAUUUAAAAGGGCCACUCCAGUGAAGACGAGUAGGGCGGGGCACGUGAAACCCUGUCUGAAUAUGGGGGGACCAUCCUCCAAGGCUAAAUACUCCUGACCGACCGAUAGUGAACCAGUACCGUGAGGGAAAGGCGAAAAGAACCCCGGAGAGGGGAGUGAAAUAGAUCCUGAAACCGUGUGCGUACAAGCAGUAGGAGCUCGCAAGAGUGACUGCGUACCUUUUGUAUAAUGGGUCAGCGACUUACUGUUCGUGGCAAGCUUAACCGUAUAGGGGAGGCGAAGGGAAACCGAGUCUGAUAAGGGCGCAUAGUCGCGGGCAGUAGACCCGAAACCGGGUGAUCUAGUCAUGGCCAGGGUGAAGGUGCCGUAACAGGUACUGGAGGCCCGAACCCACGUCUGUUGCAAAAGACGGGGAUGAGCUGUGAUUAGGAGUGAAAAGCUAAUCGAACCCGGAGAUAGCUGGUUCUCCUCGAAAGCUAUUUAGGUAGCGCCUCGGACGAAUACUACUGGGGGUAGAGCACUGUUAUGGCUAGGGGGUCAUCGCGACUUACCAAACCAUUGCAAACUCCGAAUACCAGUACGUACUAUCCGGGAGACACACGGCGGGUGCUAACGUCCGUCGUGAAAAGGGAAACAACCCAGACCCACAGCUAAGGUCCCAAAUUCACUGCUAAGUGGAAAACGAUGUGGAAAGGCAUAGACAGCCAGGAGGUUGGCUUAGAAGCAGCCACCCUUUAAAGAAAGCGUAAUAGCUCACUGGUCGAGUCGGUCUGCGCGGAAGAUUUAACGGGGCUAAGCAGUGAACCGAAGCUUGGGGUGCAUAAAACUUGUUUUAUGCGCGGUAGAGGAGCGUUCCGUAAGCCUGCGAAGGUGGAUUGAGAAGUCUGCUGGAGGUAUCGGAAGUGCGAAUGCUGACAUGAGUAACGAUAAUGCGGGUGAAAAGCCCGCACGCCGAAAGCCCAAGGUUUCCUUGCGCAACGUUAAUCGACGCAGGGUUAGUCGGUCCCUAAGGCGAGGGCGAAAGCCGUAGUCGAUGGGAAGCAGGUUAAUAUUCCUGCACCUCGCGUGAGUGCGAUGGAGGGACGGAGAAGGUUAGGUGUACCGGGCGUUGGUUGUCCCGGGGAAAGGCGGUAGGUUUGGAUCUUUGGCAAAUCCGGGAUCCUUUAAGACAGAGCACCGAGACGAGCCUUUAUGGCGAAGUCACUGAUACCACGCUUCCAGGAAAAGCUCCUAAGCUUCAGCUCACGAAGACCGUACCGUAAACCGACACAGGUGGGUAGGAUGAGAAUUCUCAGGCGCUUGAGAGAACUCGGGUGAAGGAACUAGGCAACAUGGCACCGUAACUUCGGGAGAAGGUGCACCCUUUUUGGUGGCUCAUGCGAGCUAUAGCUGAAGAGGGUCGCAGAAACCAGGCCGCUGCGACUGUUUAUCAAAAACACAGCACUCUGCAAACACGAAAGUGGACGUAUAGGGUGUGACGCCUGCCCGGUGCUGGAAGGUUAAUUGAUGGGGUCAGCCGCAAGGCGAAGCUCUUGAUCGAAGCCCCAGUAAACGGCGGCCGUAACUAUAACGGUCCUAAGGUAGCGAAAUUCCUUGUCGGGUAAGUUCCGACCUGCACGAAUGGCGUAACGACAGCGGCGCUGUCUCCACCCGAGACUCAGUGAAAUUGAAAUCGCUGUGAAGAUGCAGCGUUCCCGUGGCAAGACGGAAAGACCCCGUGAACCUUUACUAUAGCUUUACACUGAACGUUGAGUUCGUCUGUGUAGGAUAGGUGGGAGGCUAUGAAACUGUGGCGCUAGCUGCAGUGGAGCCAUCCUUGAAAUACCACCCUGUCGUGCUUGACGUUCUAACCUAGAUCCGUUAUCCGGAUCAGGGACCGUGUAUGGUGGGUAGUUUGACUGGGGCGGUCUCCUCCUAAAGAGUAACGGAGGAGCACGAAGGUACGCUCAGCGCGGUCGGACAUCGCGCACUGUGUGCAAAGGCAUAAGCGUGCUUGACUGCAAGAUCGACGGAUCAAGCAGGUACGAAAGUAGGUCUUAGUGAUCCGGUGGUUCUGUAUGGAAGGGCCAUCGCUCAACGGAUAAAAGGUACUCCGGGGAUAACAGGCUGAUACCGCCCAAGAGUUCAUAUCGACGGCGGUGUUUGGCACCUCGAUGUCGGCUCAUCACAUCCUGGGGCUGUAGUCGGUCCCAAGGGUAUGGCUGUUCGCCAUUUAAAGUGGUACGCGAGCUGGGUUCAGAACGUCGUGAGACAGUUCGGUCCCUAUCUGCCAUGGGCGUUGGAAGUUUGAGAGGGGCUGCUCCUAGUACGAGAGGACCGGAGUGGACGAACCUCUGGUGUUCCGGUUGUCACGCCAGUGGCAUUGCCGGGUAGCUAUGUUCGGAAGCGAUAACCGCUGAAAGCAUCUAAGCGGGAAGCGCGCCUCAAGAUGAGACUUCCCGGGGCACAAGCCCCCUAAAGGAACCAUAUAGACUAUGUGGUUGAUAGGUCAGGUGUGUAAGUACAGCAAUGUAUUGAGCUAACUGAUACUAAUGAUCCGUGCGGCUUGACC
rnacentral:rRNA from 1 species